GCUCGAGUCUGGAGCUGCAUGUAAGGUGGAAAUCAGGUCCGGUCACCUCUCCAUUGCUGACGGCCAUCACUGUUGUCUGCUUUCUUCUUCUUCCUUUUUUUUUUUGGUAGCGGGAAUCGAAUUCAGGACCUUGUGCUUGCCAGGCAGGCGCUUGUGCCCCUGAGCUACAUCCCCGGCCCUGUCUGUGUUCUUCUUGAGGAACUUCAAAAGAGGAAGGUGCCCGCACAGGCUGCCAAGACGGUACCAGUCAGCAUCUCGAGUUCCUGCUCAGUUCUGUGGGAAUCACAGACUGGGACCGUGUGGCUCUUCCCGAGCUCCAAACGGCCGCGGCUGUCAGCUCCUGUGGCUUGUGGCCGCCCUCAUGCUCGUGCCCAGCAGUCAGCCACGGGCCUCGGGAGCUCUUCUGGCCCCUGCAGAGUUGCUGCUCUCUGGCUGCUGCCACUGUCGGGGCCACUGAGCUGGCUGCCGACUGCUUUCGACCUGAGCAACCUUUGCACUUACCAGCUCUGACAGCUGGCGACCUUUGAUCAGAGAAACUCUUUGGGCACUGGCGACCUUUGAUCAGAGAAACUCUUCUUGUAGGAGCUUAGCAUGCUCUGCUUGAGCUAGAAAUCAUGAAUAGGCAAAAAUAUGCCUUCCAAAAUAGGCUUUCUUAGAACUUAUGCUGCAGAAUAAGGGAGAACAAUGUACAGACUGACCUAAGAGUAUGGGAACACUACUCACGCAGGAAAAAGGCAGGCUCCUGCGCGCGCAGGGUCAGACCCGCCGCUGGCCGUGGCGAGGGAAGGGGCUCCGCACGGACCUCGUUGCUGAAGGCGCAGAGCGGGGAGCCAGCCAGAGAGAUCACAGGGCAGUCGUCGGGGGUAGGUCUGCUCCCCACACUUGCCGCAGCCGGAGGAGCUCGGUCCUGGAGUGGCAGCGGGCAUCGGAUGCGGCUGCUCCCAGCUGCCAGGCGCUGGGGCGGCCGCGGAAGGAAAAGGCGAGCGCCCCUGGGGGGCACCGGACCGCCCCUCCGUCUCCGUCUCAGUUUAAUGUGUCAGUGAUUCCGCAAUUAAAGUCCUAGGCAGAGGAUGGGGACGGAAUAGUGGCACAGCCCAGCACCAGUCCAGCGCUCCAUUCAUCACUGCCCAAGGGCAGCUGCACAACCUUCACAAUGAUCCCAGGAAGAGGGAAGGAAGGGGAAGCGCCGGCUCCUUGGAACGGUGAGUCACCGCCCAGCAGCGGAUGU
ensembl:lincRNA